rnacentral:other from 1 species
CUGACCCUGCGGUGCUCGUGAUGAUCUACGUGGUCUUGAGCCAACAGAAUGAGAGUCGGGAGCUGCUCCCUGGACGGUCCGCCGGCCGGGGCUGCGGUGCCCACCUGCGAAAGCAGGUUCAAGGCUCCGUUGCACACGGCACAGGCGGGGUCGGC